CAGCCGCCGCGGGAAUACGUAGGUGGCAAGCGUUGUCCGGAAUUAUUGGGCGUAAAGGGCUCGCAGGCGGUUUCCUAAGUCUGAUAUGAAAGCCCCCGGCUCAACCGGGGAGGGUCAUUGGAAACUGGGAAACUUGAGUGCAGAAGAGGAGAGUGGAAUUCCACGUGUAGCGGUGAAAUGCGUAGAGAUGUGGAGGAACACCAGUGGCGAAGGCGACUCUCUGGUCUGUAACUGACGCUGAGGAGCGAAAGCGUGGGGAGCGAACAGGAUUAGAUACCCCAGUAGUCCCUGUCUCUUAUAC
rnacentral:rRNA from 1 species